UACGUAGGGUGCGAGCGUUAAUCGGAAUUACUGGGCGUAAAGCGUGCGCAGGCGGUUUUGUAAGUCAGCUGUGAAAUCCCCGGGCUUAACCUGGGAAUGGCAUUUGGGACUGCAAGGCUGGAGUGUGGCAGAGGAGACUGGAAUUCCUGGUGUAGCAGUGAAAUGCGUAGAUAUCAGGAGGAAUACCGAUGGCGAAGGCAGGUCUCUGGGCUGACACUGACGCUCAUGCACGAAAGCGUGGGGAGCAAACAGG
rnacentral:rRNA from 1 species